AGAAUAAUACCACGAAUCUCUUUAGAAGUGAGGGUUAAAUGAACGAAGUCACUAGCGUGAGGUCCAGCGCGUUUUUAAGUGCUCAAUAAAUUAAGCCAGCCCAAACUUGUCUCCUGAGGUCCAGACGCAUUCAGCUACACUAUGCUAUAGACGGAUCUGGAAGACCUGCGUUCCCACCGCUCCGUGUGUUGGCAGCAGUGGGACCAAGGACUUUGCCAGUUUUAAGCUGCAGGGCUUGGAACCAGAAGAGAGACAAGGUCCAAGAGGAGAGAAGCUCGCCUGGAGAAUGGAACGGGCGAACUCACUCUGACACUGGCUUUUUUCAAGUCCUGUUUUCCUCCCUUCAGCUCCGAGUUUGGACCCGUGAGCUUCCCUUCCUGCUGCCAGGUUCAGCCAGGCUUUCGGCUUCUCUAUCCCUCAGUGACAAAAUCAUGUCAACGGCUCUGCACUCACCAGGGUUAACUGUGGAAAUCAGAUGCAAUGCUCUGUAAACUUUGCACAUGUUCGUUGUUGUUAUUCUCGAGCCACGUCUGCAUGUUCAAGGGUUGGGAUGUUGCUCGUUAAGAGAGCUUUCCAGUCAAAUGAAGGACUUAAUUUAUUACUGAGAAAUGCUAAUUUCACUUGUUAUUCAGUAACAUUUGGUGUCCACUCCACCAGUAUACUAAGUGUUUUACCUGGUUAUCUGUGACAUUGGUAUUUUAUUUUUCUCCAUUUUACACAUUCAAAAAUUAAGUUUGGAAGAUGAAGUCGUCUGCCCAAGGUCGUCUGUUUUAUAAAAAGCAGAGCCGGGAGUCAAAACUGAUGCCAAGCCUUUGUGGUCAACCACAACAUACAAGAUUGCACAGACAGCCGAUGCUUCACAUCCUUUCUCCUGUUCACAACUGGCUGUCUCUUUUUACUGUACGUUUUUAGAGAUAGGGUAGUGUAUCGAUCAUAAAUCUUUCUUAUUACAAAAUAACAGUUGUCUCUUCAGGGCUGUCCAGUUAAGUGGGGGUAGGGUGAAGGGGGUUAGGACGGUGAUUCCUCUCUACAGUAAGUGCCCAAGAAAUGAGGAUCCUAAUUAAUGCUUAAAAUAAAAUGGGAAAACUGGAAAGUACUUACUCAUUACAGUAACUGGUGAUUUGAAAACGUACCUCUCAGUUGAUCCGAGAUCUCUUCCCUAGACGGGCUCCUUUCUCGGCUGUAGAUCAGAAGGCCAGGCUGGAGAGCCUAGAGCCUGGGCUGGAAGGCAGUCAAGUUCACCCCUGGGUGCUUCUAUGCUUAUGAGCCAACGGCUGGGGAGAAGAUGCCAUUUCCGGUGGUAUCUGAGGCCAAUGACACGAGUCAGCAUUUACUUUUUUGUAUUAGGAACCGGAAGACUAAUGACCAAAGCUUCAAGGCAACAAAUGUGAAAACGCGAAGUCAGUCCAACAUACAGCAUCUUCCCGGAAUUUGGCUCUGAGCUGGUUUUUAUUUCACUUUUCUCAGUAAUCUGGGUGUAGCUUGUAUUUACUGACUCUUAAACUUUGUUUUGUUUUCACAACUCAGACCCUCGGUUCUUCCUGCCUUGUAGCUUGCGCCCCGCUGAAAAGGCAAAGUGGGGAAGGACAGAAAGAGGGGAGAAGAAGGGGAAGUGAGAAAAGAGAACAGGAGGGGAUGAUAAGAAGCAGACGGUUCCCACUUCAAAUGGAUUUGUGAUGCACAUUCUUGUGCUGCAUUAGUUUACAUAGCGCCUCCAAAUCCUCUCCUUUCACCCUCCCACCGCCCUGUGCGUGGAAGAGCCCAUCCCAGAACUAUGGAGAACUACAGGCCUCCAGUAAGCUCAGACCGUGGCCGACCCACGAGGACCUGCCGAUUUAUCCUCUGCUGUUCCGCGGGAAACCGGCAGGGACCUGGAGAGCGGUCUUUAGAUUGGUUAGAUACACGUAGUGCUUUGUUGUCUGUGAUCUGAAGGCCGAGGAAUAUUCCCUUCCCUACAGGUACCAAGAUGAAAGAGAAGGAGGAAACGAAUUGGAAAAGAAGAAGAAGAAGGACACGAAGCUCUAAAAAAGUUUUUCCUCAAACCGGGAACCUUUUAUCGGCGUAUUAAGCACUUUAGGAUAGAGCGUUUCUCCAUGGCAUAAAAUAACUAAUGAACAAGAGUAAUGGGCUCCAAAACAGUCCAGAAAUAUGUGCCCUGUGCACUUAGUUUGUGUUAGUUUUUUAAAUACUAUGCUAGUUAGAGGCGCCUAGGUGGCUCAGUCAGUUAGGCGUCCGACUCUUGAUUUUGGCUCAGGUCAUGCUCUCACAGUUCAUGAGUUUGAGUUCCAUGUCUGCACGGUCAGUGCAGAGCCUGCUGGGGCUUCUCUCUCUCUCUCUCUCUCUCUCCCUUUCUUUCUGCCCCUCCCCUGCUCGCUCUCAUGUGCUCUCUUUCUCAAAUAAGUAAACUUAAAACAAUUAAAAAUCAAUACCGUGCUAUUUAGGUAAAUUGGCCUAUAAAACAACCUAGCAGCCUUUUCUUGAGAAAUGCCAUUUUCCUUCACUUCACUGAUGACCCAAAGCGUGGCUCAAAAACUGCAUCCAUUACACAUUGUUUUUAUUCUCUUAUCAGUAGCCAUAAAGCAAGUUAUCUUGCAUUUUUUCCAUGACUUUUACUAUAAUCAUUAUUGUGUCUCAAGGCAAGGCUGCAUCUAGAUAUUUACAAUUCAGGCUAGUAUGUCCUAUAACUGAAAGUUUGCCGUUGUUUAUUUCUAUAAAUGAGUUUUCAAUCGCUCCGGUUCUCUGAAGUCCAGCUAGUCUGUGCACCGUGAGGGUGAAAAGCUCUUGUGAGGUCUCGAGGGAGGAUGACCAAAACUGGCCUAAUUCCAAGACCAGGGACUAGAGCCGGAACCGUGCAAAUGAUAAUCUCGUUUUACUCUUUGAAUUUAACAUAACACUGUUUGAGACCACACAACAGCUUUUCUACAGAUUUUCCCACUUCCAAGAACUUAUCUAUGGAGACAGUUACGGUUGCUGUUCUGGCCCCACUCCGUGUUCCGUAGCUCAGUGAGCUGGCUUGCGUUCUUCUCCGCCACACUUUUCCUAAACAGCCGUGGUCACUUACACAUGUAUAAGGUUUUACACUUAGAAUCUCACAACAGACCCCGCUAGUAAAGCAAGGAAAACUUUAAUUAUGAUGGUCACCUUGCAGAUGGUGAAGCCGAGACCCGGAGAGAGCUUGAAUGACUGUCACCUUGACGGGGUGCUCAGAGCCUGGGGGCACGAUGAUGACAGUGUGUCCUCUUCGCUGCCCUCUCAGCGGGAGGCCAGAAAAGGCGCCCUGCUGUUAUUAUCUGGCCUAUUUUCGGAUGGUAUUUAAUGGCACAGGACUUGAAAAGGUACAUGUGGUAUAAGCAAGAAGUCCCUCUCCCUUUCUGGUUUCCUAAUCCCUCAUUCUUCCUUCCAGAAGCAAUAUGGUCACUGGCUUAUCUAUUCUACCAGAAAUAUUCUAUACAGAUAACCUAUAUCUCUCGGAAGUAUUUUAUUCUCUCUUCCUUCCUUCUUUCUUGAAGAGUCAACUUCCCUUUUUACUUAAGGCAGACGUCUGGAAGGAAUACGAAACCCACUCAGAGCAGAUGCUAAACUGCAGAAAGGCUUUGGUAAACCGAUCACCCAGAUUGUUCCAAAUAUCCAGAUGUUUGAAAUAGUACAGAAAACUUGUGACUCACAACAGCUUCUAAAGGAGUUAGGCGAAGCCCUCCCUGUGGUGUCGCACUAUAAUUGACUUGGGCCCUCGUGCCCUGCCUGGGGACCACUUAAACCUUGAUACGGAUUUGGAAUACUGCGGCUGCAUGUCUGUUGACAGUGUAAAUGGAAACCAGAGCUACGAUACUGCGAAUGAAGUGACUCUGAGGCCCACACAGACUUGAGUUGGAAAACUGAUUCUGUCAUUUAUGGCUGCAUGACAUCUGUAGUCACUGAACUCCUUGUGGCUUGAUCUUCUCAUCUACAAAAUAGCGACAGUAAUAACUGCUACAUAGGGGCACCAGCGUGGCUCAGUCGGUUGAGGGCUGACUUCGGCACAGGUCAUGAUCUCGCGGUUUGUGAGUUCAAGCCCCACGUCAGGCUCUGUGCUGACAGCUCAGAGCCCAGAGCCUGCUUCGGAUUCUGUGCCUGCCUCUCUCUUUCUGCCCCUCCCCCACUCAUGCUGUCUCUCUCUCUCUCCCCAAAAUAAAACAUUAAAAAAAAACAUUAACACAUGAAAUGUCUUUCUCUCUCUACCCAAAAUAAAACAUUAAAAAAAAAACAUUAACACACUAAAAAAAUGUUAAUAACCACUAUAUAGAUGUGAUGGUUAAAUGAGAAAAUACACCCAGAGCACCAAGGAUAUAGUAGUGUAUAAUAAAAUAUGUCCACAUCAUUAACCGUGGCCCAUGGUUAAUUUUGUAGACUUUGUAAAUUUUGUAAAUUUUUCUUCCCCAGCAAGGGGGAAAGGUGGUUAAGAGAUUUUUAAUUUUCUUUUUUUUUUUUUUAAUUUUUUUUUUAACGUUUAUUUAUUUUUGAGACAGAGAGAGACAGAGUAUGAACGGGGGAGGGUCAGAGAGAGGGAGACACAGAAUCCGAAACAGGCUCCAGGCUCUGAGCUGUCAGCACAGAGCCCGACGCGGGGCUCGAACGCACAGACUGCGAGAUCAUGACCCGAGCCGAAGUCGGCCGCUUAACUGACUGAGCCACCCAGGCGCCCCUUUAAUUUUCUUUUAAGAUGGGAACAGUGAUAGUAUGUUUGUAUGCUUAUAGAAAGAAGUCAGUAAAUGGGGAAAACUAGAUGAUGCAGGAGGAAUACUGCGGUAGACCCCGUUCUCGGUGCUAGAGAUACAGCUGUGAAUAAUGCAUUAAAAAAAAUAAUAAAAGCCUUGCCCCUAUAGAGUUGACAUUUGGGAUGGGGGGAGGCAGACAACUAAAAAACAUAAGUAAAAUAAUAUGUUAGGUAGAACAGGAACGUGAUUGUUGGAUGGGGAAGAUUCAGGGGCUGUGGGUUGGAAUUUUAAACAGGGUAGUGACAGGGUUCCAGAUACAUCACCUCAGAAUGGCACUCCCUCAUACGGAAUAGUGUAAGCUGAAGGAAUUUGUGAAAUGGCAGGUGCUGGAAGGACUCUAUGACCCCCCCCCACCCCCCCCCGCCCCGGAAGCAGGUCAUAAAGCCCGCUUGGGAGAGGUGCCCUCCCCUUACCUGGAAGAAAGUAACAUCCUUAUCUCUGAAGACACCAGGACUCAGCAAGGAAUCCAAACAAACAGCUGUGGGUAAGUUCCCCCAGUUCACCACCCUUAGCUGGUACCCUUUGUCCUACCGAUCUUCAUCGAACCCAGAGUAAAAAACACUCCGGCUUAACCUUGUUUGGGGGCGUCAUUUGUUUAUGAAGGCUAAUUUGUGUGCUCUUCUCUUGUCAAUCUGCCUUUUGUUACAGAGACCCAGCUGAGCACCUGGAAAGGGCAGAAGGGACCAGCAGUGGUCUGGAGAAGGCCUCCCAGAGAAGAUGAGAUUUGAGCAAAGUCUGGAGGGAGGUGAUGGAAACCCCAUGUCGAAAUCUGGGGGAAGGCAGCUCCAAGCAGAGAGAACAAUAAAGAGGAACACUGUGGUUUUUCUUAUCUUCUUGGAAUGGAGUGCUUCAAGCAGGCCUGAAAUCAACCCACUGAAUAUGUACUUAUAAAUACACGUAUUUCAACAAACUGCUGUGUGUUUAUGCUCAAAUCUAUGAGCGGCUACCUUAAAAAAGGAUCACAUUUGGCAAACCACAAAACAGUAUGCGUCUUCUUUGUAUGACUUGCAACAGUCUGCAUAUUCUGGAUAAUUUCUCUUCAAGGCACUUGCAUUUAGCACUUUCAGGCACAUACGAAUAAUUUGUUUCUAUUGAGGCGCAAAGUUUUCUCUGAUCGUGUACUAAGAAUUCUGAGACUGGAUUAAAACUUGUAACACAUUCACUUUAGUAACCGAAUUCAGUUCUGCGCUAAGUCAGUGCCUGCAAAUCUCUGUGUUGUUGAGGAGUGAGGCUAGAAUUGGAGUUUGGGAGGUUAUAGGUCGAGAAGAGCCACAUUGGUGGUUUCAGCAGGACGGAUGGAAUGAGAGGCGAAUUUAUAAAAGACCUCUUUCUGUGAGGACUUCUUAAAAUUUUCUGCAAAUUUUCUGGGAAUUCUUAUGUUUUGUGCAAGUUUUCUACCCUGCUCCGGUGUGUAGCUUAGUGGUUUCAGAGCAGGGCCUUUGUAGGCAGAAAGGUUGAGUUCAAGUCUGAAACCUGGGAGCUGUUAUUUGGGGAAAGUUCCUUAGCCUCUCUGACCCAAAUCCAGCAGAGGAGAUUGAAUAAGCAAAGUGCUAAGUAAAUGCUCAGUUUACUCUAGAAAUUAGUAUA